rnacentral:rRNA from 1 species
CAGUCGCCGCGGGAAUACAGAGGGCGCGAGCGUUAAUCGGAUUUACUGGGCGUAAAGCGUGCGUAGGCGGCUUCUUAAGUCGGAUGUGAAAUCCCUGAGCUUAACUUAGGAAUUGCAUUCGAUACUGGGAAGCUAGAGUAUGGGAGAGGAUGGUAGAAUUCCAGGUGUAGCGGUGAAAUGCGUAGAGAUCUGGAGGAAUACCGAUGGCGAAGGCAGCCAUCUGGCCUAAUACUGACGCUGAGGUACGAAAGCAUGGGGAGCAAACAGGAUUAGAUACCCGCGUAGUCCCUGUCUCUUAUAC